rnacentral:lncRNA from 1 species
GCAUUACUGUGCACAAAAAAAUAGAAAAAUGACUAAUUAAAACUUAUUGUGCCAAAACAAUCAUGAUAAAUAACACAUUUAAGAGGUAAAUGAUAGGAAUAUAACUUGGUUUUAACAUUUCUAACACAAAGAAACUUGUGGAACUUGUCCUUGUGAAAUUAUGAAUUGACAGAAAAUGCCUUAAAAAAAGCGUCACACUCCUGACAUAUAUAAUGCACUCCCACAUCUAUGAUAUAAACAUAUCACAGUUGUAAUAAAUUUUUUUCUUCUCUUUGGAAUAGCCACUUCUGAAAAAUAAAGAAGAAGAAAAUAUUUAAGUCCUAUGUAUUCUUUGGUAGAUGUUUAAAGACAGUUGUCACACUCCUGACAUUUUUGGGUGCCUCUCUUUGGUGUCCAUUAAAACAAUAAAAUAUGUGAUUUAGAGCACCAACAUACCCUUAAUUAUAGUGCUAAUAUACCAAUACAAACUUAUUUCACAUACUGACAUUAUUGGACUUUAAAAACAUGGUUACAAGGAAGCUUUAAUUUUAAAAGUGUCAUUUUUUGAAAGACUUUAUUUUUUGUACAUACCUUCACAAUAAAGGUCAGUGUUUACUUAUUUUAAAAUUUUAUUGGACAAAAUUACAAAAAUAUUUAAGACUAAUAAUGUAGCAACU